rnacentral:lncRNA from 1 species
CACAGACCUUGAACUCAGAGUUCUUCGUGGCUCUGUCUCCUGAAUGCUGGGAUUAAAGGUGUGUACCACCAUGCCUGGGCCUAAACUGUUUAUGGCCACUAUUCCUCAAGAUCCAGAUCAAAAGCCUGUGUCUUCCAGCCUCAAGAUGUGGAUCAUAAGUGUGCCCUCCAUUUCUGGAUUGUAGUCCAUUCCAGAUUAAAAGUUCAAACUCUCCCUUGUUCAACAUCAAACCCAACAAUAAGCUUAGCUGGGUAGGAUUUUGCCCUGAGAUCAUCACUCCCUAGAUAUCUUUAUCUCCUUUAAUAUCUUUCUGACAAAGCUGGCUCAUGUGUGCAGCUGCCUCCGUUCUUUCAGUUUGGUGAAGCCCCUCAUACGGUUCAUACUGCAUGUGUGUACUUUGUAUAGUUAAGAAAUCUUGCACGGAACAAUUUUUACACUGAUUUAUAUUUUCUUGAUUUCAUGUUUUUGGGGUUUUUUUUCAUACCCUUAAGGGUUGUCCUGAAGGUCACAGCAUUAUUAUUUUGCUGAGGAACACCAGGCACAUUCUUGCUGCCUAUAAUCGUGUUGUUUCUGAUUAUCAUGGAGUCAUUAAUCUUGGCAGGGACAACAUUACCAAAAGAGGAACAUAAAGUAAAAUGAUUAUUCAGAGAAACCGUACACCUACAGCAACCAUCAGCACUUGAGAAAACCCAUCAUUGUUCCUAAAUAUUUCAUCCAUGUUUUACAUCAAUGUUUUUCUCUGUGUUUUCUGGGUUGAAAUGUUGCUGUUGAGAUCAUUUGAAACCCAGAGAUUCUUCAGCUCUCUACCCUACCAAUGAGCCCAUUAAAGGGAUUCUUCAUUUCUUUGGGAUUAAUUUUAAUCCCAAUCAUUUUUUUCUUAUCAUUUUCUUCUCUGGCUUAUUUUGCUCAUUUGCUCUUACAUGGUGUCUACUUUCUUCAUCACAGUUUUUGGUAUAUUAAUCAUAGCUACUUAAAAUUCCUAGUCUCAUCAUCCCAACAUCUGUGCCACAUCUGGGCUUGAUGUUUUCUCUGUCUCAUCAAAAUGUAUUUUUAUUUAUUUUAUUUUAUUUUAUUUUAUUUUAUUUUAUUUUAUUUGCCUUUUGGUGUAAUGGAUAGUAGGUGCCAGGAAUUGUGUAAAUAUGGUUUUGAUGAUAUGGAGGUCUAAUGUGGAGAGACUGCAAUGGUUCUCUAGUCCUGGGAUUCGAUCCUAGACUUUCAUCAAAGCUGUUCCCUGCUGUGUAAAGCCUCAGAUUUACUACUUUCAUUUUUACUCUAGUUAGGUCAGGUGGGACAGGAUGGCUAGAAGAAAUCAGAGCUGGUAUUUUUUUUUCUCCUGAAAGAUUAGUUGUGUACAGAGAAAAAAAAACUCCAGUAGUUCAGGAUCUGGUCCAGUAAAUUCUUUAGAGGAAAUACGUCCUAAAAAGAGAAGGGUGUGGGAUGUCUUAAAUGGCUCCUUUCACCUUACCCCUUGCAGAAAUAAGAAUGAAUUAGUCUGUUAGCAGUGAUGGAGACCUAAACCUGAUUAAUUCCUGGAGGUAAGACUUAGAAUUAAGUGGAAACACUCUAUUUACUCAAGACUGGGCACUCCUGGAGAUUUGAGCCCUGAGAUUAGGAUUGGCCUAUUUAUCAAUCAUACUCUACAGGUACUCCCCACAGAGGAUCUGCACACGGAACUUCACUACUGGUUCUAUAUGCCAUUCUGUCUGUCCAGUUUAGGAAAGGCCAUUUUCCCUGUUGCAUUAUUUAUUUGAAACCACAAUGAAUUUGCUCAGCUCAGAAUGUCACUUCUCCCUACAAGUCAUAACUUCUAAACCUUUGGUAUGCAAAGUCAAAAAAAAAAAUUCCUGCCUAUUUUUCUAAUAGAAUUUGAUUACAGCACAGUGGCCCUCACUCAUUAUGAAUUUUCUGUCAGUUUCUGAAAUGCUGUGUUAGCAUCUUUGACUAGUUGCCACAGUCUGUCUGGCCCACAGAAACUUAAAUAUCAGCUCUUGGAACUCUCACAGAAAAUGAUGACUGUUCUAGACAACAAGAAUGUAUUCAUUAAUAUGUCAAAUAAAAACGUUUUUCUUAUC